rnacentral:lncRNA from 1 species
UACUCUGCCAUUAUAUUCUCUAUUAGGAAUUUGAUAUGCUCAGAAGAUAUAGUGAGUUGCCUGUUUACUAACAUCAGGGUCCUUUCAGGUAGUGUCCACCACAGGAAACAUUACUAUUUGGGUAUUGUGACCCAUGGCAACGACCCAGCACUCACCUUUCCAGACCUCAUCUGGUGGCCUUGUAACCCUGGAGCUGAAGCUGCAUGCGCACAAGCAAUCAGUCGCAGUGUAUCCACACAGGGUCCCAACCCACUCCAGGAUUCAUUUCGGGAUGGCUUCCCCUCCCUCAGCCGGGUCUCCAGCCCCAUUGCUCUCCAGGCAUGCCCAUCUCCAUCUCCACGGCGAUCAUGUGUUUGCAGGGAGACAUCAAUAGGAACCCUGCUUUGUGUAGUUCAGUGCCUGCUGCCAAGUCAGAGCUGUGACCUCAAUGAAAGUGGCCCAGCCACACCAAACCUCAGUUUCCGUAACAGUCCUGGGAUCCAAUGUGGCUUUCACAUUACAUAUCACUUCACUCUGUUAUCUCCGAUGGAAAACCAACUCAAACUGGCUUAAGCAAAAAGGGUACUCACUGGGCCAUGUAACCAAAAAGUGUAAGCAUAGGUGUGGCUUCAGGAACGGCUGGAUCAAGGCACCCACAUGUGGCAUCGGGAGUCCCUCUCCUGGCUGUUGGUUUCAGUUUUCUCUGCAGGGGUUACAUUCGAGCAUUGGUUCCCUCCUCAUAGUGGCAAGGUGGCUGCGCAGGACAAGAGGCAUAUAGCCAAGGGCUCAGCUACUUAAGGAUAAGUUCCAUCAGAAGCCCAAGUUGAGGCUGGCCUUGGUGGCUCACACUUGUAAUCCUAGCAGUUUGGGUGGCUGAGGUGGGUGGAUCACUUGAGGUCAGGAGUUCGAGACCAGCCUGGCCAACACAGUGAAACCCUGUCUCUACUUAAAAAAAAAAAAACAAAAAACCAUGAAAAUUAGCUGGGCGUGGUGGCACAUGCCUGUAAUCCCAGCUACUUGCAAGGCUGAGGCAGAAGAAUCACUUGAACCUGGCAGGCAGAAGUUGCAGUGAGCCGAGAUCAAACCACUGCACUCCUGCCUGGGCAACAGAACGAGACUCCGUUGGCAAUGACUGGGUCAUCUGUCCAGUCCUGAACUGGUCACUGUGUGAGGUAGAAGCAUUGUUUGAUUGGCCAGGCCUGGGACACACGGCCAUCUCCAGACCUAGGAAUGGCAUCAUCUCUACCCAAACCCCGUGAACCAGGAGGUGGGGAGGAGCAAAGCUUCAGAAGAAACUCCGGGCCCUGCCAUCAAGCAGAGGAGGAAAGGAAGCCACACAGACUGAGACAUCAAGUACCCACUGUGCCCUCACCACCAGCUCCUGCCCUGGUCAGUGCACUCCUGGACCAUUUCUCCUCCCCGUCUUGUUCACAGUCACCCUCUCACCCCAGCAGAGAUCAGGCCAGGGGACUGGUGGCAAGUGAGUGAAGGGUUUCAGCCUACCUUCCAGGCACAGUGUAAGCGGACCCCCCACACACAGGGGCUCUCCUGGGUUACACAGUGUCCUCCCAAAAUUCACAUCCACCUGGAACCUGCAAAUAUGACCUUAUUUGGAAAUGGAGUCUUUGCAGAUGUUGUCAAGAUAAGAUGAAGUCAUACUGUUUUAGGAUCGGCCCCAUAUGUGGUACGACUGGGGUUCUUAUACGAAGAGGGACCCUGGCACACGGAUGCAUACAGGGAGAGCGCUGUGUGAUGAGAAAGGCAGAGAUUGCAGUGAUGCUGCCACCAGCCAAGGAGCCACCAUCAACCAGGAGACGGGCAUGGAUCCGAUUCUCCCUGCGAACCUCCAGAAGGAGCCAACCCUGCCAACACCUUGGUUUUGGACUUCUGUUCCCCACAACUGUGAGACAAUACAUUCUGUGGUUUUAAGCUUUAUGAUAAUUUGUUACUGUAGCCCUGGGAAAGGAAUACAAGGGUAGACAGACACUGAUCAAGUAAGCAAACAAAUGUGAAAUUGCCCUGUGACAAGGGAGGUGCAGGGUGCCUGUGUUGGGGAAGAAUUCUCUGAGACUUGAAGUCAGAGAAAGAGUUAGCUAAUGGGGCUGACAGGGGUCUGCACAUGCAGCUCACGGCCCAGAUCUCGUUGGCCGAGUGUUUUUGCAGGGAUUAGGAACUAAGAAUGGUUUUGCAAGAAGAACAUCCCAGGCCGAAGGGACGGCAUGAGCAAAGGCCAUGAAGUGGGAGGCGCCCUCUGUGAAACCAACAAGCUUUCAGCCACGUGGGUCUCUCUGAUGCGUUGUCUCCGCCACAGAGGGCUUUAAAAAGCCCCGAAACUGGACAGGUGUCACUGCCUGUGGCAGUAGCGGCCAUUUGGCGCCUGUGGUUUCAACUCCACCCGUUUCACAUGUCUAUGUUACCAGACUGGCCCCUGAAGGGGAUCUGCGUGCCAGGCCCUGACCUGCCGGGCUUUGGAAACAUCCUUGCCAGUGUCCCCUGACCUGCGCCCCGCCCUGUGGAGUGAGGCCUGGUUGCCCAAGCUGGCUGGGCCGGGCUGUUUGCUGCUUCCAACAAACAUAGGAGAGAAUGUAUUGCUGCUUUUGAUUGCCAGUGAGAGCUCCGCGAGGCCUGGCCCGAGAUGUGGCUGGCGUGAGGGGUCCCGGACCUGCUGUGGUGGGGACGCACCCAGUUCUGUGGCGCUUGGUCCAGCGAGGACUCGAGCCCACUGGGGACGGGGCCUCGGGCUGCAGGGGCGGGGCCCCAGCCGCCUGGGGGUGGGGCCUCAGGUUGUUUGGGGGCGGGGCCUCAAGCUGUCUGGGGACGGGGCCUCGGGCCGGCUGGGGGCGGGGCCUCAUGCUUCAGGGGCGGGGCCUCGGACUGCCUGGGUGUGGGGUCUCCAGCUUCAGGGUCGGGGAGCCUCGAGCCGCCUGGGGACCGGGGGAUCUGUUGGGGAGGAGGUUCUCGAACUGCUGAGGAGGAUCACAGUGCUUUUGCUUCCUCUAGGAGACCAGCUGCACAGGCUGCAACAUGCCAUCUCUGUGCCUGUUUUCCCGUCGAUAAAUGCAGAGACAUUACUCUCAUCAUUUCUUCCUCUGUAACACAAUAUUCAUCUAUGUAACCCCUUGGUAAAGCAGUUGUAAGAAUUAAACAAGAGGAA